UCCCUUCUCCCUUCCCCCUCAUCAGUUGGUUCCUUCAGUUGAUGGCAUUGGAAGACAACUCUGAGUAUUUUGACUUAUGCAGAUUCUACAGAUCUGUGAGGAAACUGAUGCUGAGAGCUUACAUGCUUUGUUCAGUCACACACCAACUAUCUGAGACAGUGUUUGAACUCAAGCUUUCCUGACUUCAAGUCCAUCACAUUAUCCACUAGACCACCCGAG
rnacentral:lncRNA from 1 species